rnacentral:snRNA from 1 species
GUCCCUUUGGGGACAUCCGAUAAAAUUGGAACGAUACAGAGAAGAUUAGUAUGGCCCCUGCGCAAGAAUGACACGCACAAAUCGAGAAAUGGUCCAAAUUUUU